rnacentral:rRNA from 1 species
CCUACGGGUGGCUGCAGUGGGGAAUAUUGGACAAUGGGCGAAAGCCUGAUCCAGCCAUGCCGCGUGUGUGAAGAAGGCCUUCGGGUUGUAAAGCACUUUCAGUGGGGAAGAAAGCCUUGGGGCUAAUACCCUCGAGGAAGGACAUCACCCACAGAAGAAGCACCGGCUAACUCCGUGCCAGCAGCCGCGGUAAUACGGAGGGUGCGAGCGUUAAUCGGAAUUACUGGGCGUAAAGCGCGCGUAGGCGGUCUGAUAAGCCGGUUGUGAAAGCCCCGGGCUCAACCUGGGAACGGCAUCCGGAACUGUCAGGCUAGAGUGCAGGAGAGGAAGGUAGAAUUCCCGGUGUAGCGGUGACAUGCGUAGAGAUCGGGAGGAAUACCAGUGGCGAAGGCGGCCUUCUGGACUGACACUGACGCUGAGGUGCGAAAGCGUGGGUAGCAAACAGGAUUAGAUACCCCUGUAGUC